rnacentral:rRNA from 1 species
AUUGAACGCUGGCGGCAGGCUUAACACAUGCAAGUCGAGCGGGGUGAUGGUGCUUGCACUAUCACUUAGCGGCGGACGGGUGAGUAAUGCUUAGGAAUCUGCCUAUUAGUGGGGGACAACAUCUCGAAAGGGAUGCUAAUACCGCAUACGUCCUGCGGGAGAAAGCAGGGGAUCACUUGUGAAUUUGCGCUAAUAGAGGAGCCUAAGUCGGAUUAGCUAGUUGGUGGGGUAAAGGCCUACCAAGGCGACGAUCUGUAGCGGGUCUGAGAGGAUGAUCCGCCACACUGGGACUGAGACACGGCCCGGACUCCUACGGGAGGCAGCAGUGGGGAAUAUUGGACAAUGGGGGGAACCCUGAUCCAGCCAUGCCGCGUGUGUGAAGAAGGCCUUAUGGUUGUAAAGCACUUUAAGCGAGGAGGAGGCUCUUUUGGUUAAUACCCAAGAUGAGUGGACGUUACUCGCAGAAUAAGCACCGGCUAACUCUGUGCCAGCCGCCGCUGUAA